rnacentral:tRNA from 1 species
GCGGAUGUGGUGGAAUGGUAGACACGACGGUCUUAGAAGCCGUUGCCGAGAGGCGUGGGAGUUCGAGUCUCUUCAUCCGCACCA